AAUAGCAUUACACACUAACUUUGGCAAGUAUUCACUGUAAUAUAUUUUGUUUACUCUUGAUAUUUUUCAAUUGUUUAAAAAAAAACAAUUUAAAUACAUGAGCUCAUAUGUAUAUUUAGAUAGUAUCUCUCCUGAAGUAUGUUUUGUGAGGCUCCAUGAAGAGUCAUGAGGAUGAAUAACUUUUGGAAGAGAUGCUGGGAAGAGAUUAGCUGUCAUAAAGGAUGGCCCUUGUGGCCCUGUUUUGGAUCCUACAAGAUAAAGAAUGUCUUAGAGGACUACGUACAAAGUUUCUGAGGUCAACAGAGGAGGCCAGUGCUUUACUUGACAGAAAGAUCAAGUAUUACAAGAGAAUAAUGCACUGAAUGGAAGAAAAGAUGAAGUUCAUGGAACGGCACAGACUUGCUAAGGAUUAGUUUCCUCUACUAACUGGCUACACACUAUGGUGGCUUUUGAAGCCUGGGACUCAUUUUAGAGAGGGUCUGUCAUCUGGAGUCCCUGCCAGGCUGCGAACACUGAGAACUUUGGUGGAUGCCGUCGGGAGGGCGGAAGUCGCCGCCCACCCACCUGCGUAGCUGUGUCCACAGCCAGGAGGCCGCGGCUCUGUCAUUCUCCUUUCUCAAACAUGAUUGUGCUUGUGCAGGGAGGGGUCGCCUUUACUGAGAGGCAGUGUACCUUUGUAAAAUGCCUGUAUUUGGUUGCUACAUUGUUGAUCCCAACACUGGAAAGAGAAAUGGCAUGUCAUUUGUUUCAUUUCAACCUUUCAGAAAUAAAAAUCUGUAUUUGUGAUUUG